rnacentral:rRNA from 1 species
AGUGAACGCUGGCGGUAGGCCUAACACAUGCAAGUCGAACGGCAGCACAGUAAGAGCUUGCUCUUACGGGUGGCGAGUGGCGGACGGGUGAGGAAUACAUCGGAAUCUACUUUUUCGUGGGGGAUAACGUAGGGAAACUUACGCUAAUACCGCAUACGACCUACGGGUGAAAGCAGGGGAUCUUCGGACCUUGCGCGAUUGAAUGAGCCGAUGUCGGAUUAGCUAGUUGGCGGGGUAAAGGCCCACCAAGGCGACGAUCCGUAGCUGGUCUGAGAGGAUGAUCAGCCACACUGGAACUGAGACACGGUCCAGACCCCUACGGGGGGCAGCAGUGGGGAAUAUUGGACAAUGGGCGCAAGCCUGAUCCAGCCAUACCGCGUGGGUGAAGAAGGCCUUCGGGUUGUAAAGCCCUUUUGUUGGGAAAGAAAAGCAGCAGGUUAAUACCCCGCUGUUCUGACGGUACCCAAAGAAUAAGCACCGGCUAACUUCGUG